rnacentral:rRNA from 1 species
CAAUAGCGUAUAUUAAAGUUGUUGCGGUUAAAAGCUCGUAGUUGGAUUUCUGUCGAGGGCGAGCGGUCCACCCGAUGGGUGAGUAUCUGUCAGGCCUUGGCAUCCUCUUGGAGAACGUAGCUGUGCUUCAUUGCGUGGCGCGGAAUUCAAGACUUUUACUUUGAGGAAAUUAGAGUGUUCACGGCAAGCAAUCGCUUUGAAUACAUUAGCAUGGAAUAAUAAUAUAGGACCUUGGUACUAUUUUGUUGGUUUCUAGAACUAAGGUAAUGAUUAAUAGGGACAGUUUGGGGGCAUUCGUAUUAACGCGUCAGAGGUGGAAUUCUUAGAUUGCGUUACGACGAACUACUGCGAAAGCAUUUGCCAAGGAUGUUUUCAUUGAUCAAGAACGAAAGUAUGGGGAUCGAAGACGAUUAGAUACCGU